UACGUAGGGUGCGAGCGUUGUCCGGAAUUAUUGGGCGUAAAGGGCUCGUAGGCGGUUUGUCGCGUCGGGAGUGAAAUCCACUGGCUUAACUGGUGGCUUGCUUUCGAUACGGGCAGACUGGAGGUAUGCAGGGGAGACUGGAAUUCCUGGUGUAGCGGUGAAAUGCGCAGAUAUCAGGAAGAACACCCGUGGCGAAGGCGGCUCUCUGGGACGGUACUGACGCUGAGACGCGAAAGCGUGGGGAGCGAACAGG
rnacentral:rRNA from 1 species